rnacentral:misc_RNA from 1 species
GCCACGCUGCACUUGGCGCCACUCAUUGCCGUAUUCACCGUGCUUGCAUUCCGCGCCUUCGCGGUGCGAUGGGCCGACGCCCACGCGGACCCGAUUGCGCCCGGAUGAUCUUACGCUGUCGCGUGGUAGCCGCCGCCAUGCACGCUCGAAGGAAGGUCAGCACGCGCGCGCAUCCGCGCCUCUCGACCUGAGCGCGGUUUCGUACGCCGCUUCGAGCGCACGCGUAUGCCGCGGCAUAUCGGUUAAGAUCGAAUUUGCCAGGCCGCCGCGGAUAGUGGCACGCACUCGUUCCAUGAAGGCCGCAUCGGUCGCGAGCCUCACGGACACGUUUACAUACUCGGAUUCGCUGGUUGCGACGGUGUCGGUCACGCCGAGGUUGACGAGCAUGCUAUAUCCGGUGCGCUCGGCAUGUCGCGCGCCCACGAGCGUCACGACCGGAACCGCCAUGGCGAGCGCCUCGAGCGUGCCGUUGACACCACCGUAGGGCAUCGGAUCGAGCACAAAAUCGACGAGCUCGUAGCGUGCCUGAUUUUCGGCUUCGGUGCGGCCCUGUGGGACGAACACGAUGCGAUCCGCGGGAAUGCCAGCGGCGCCAGUGAUUCGCAGAUACGACUCCUCCAUCGCCGGACUGAACGGCGAAAACGCGAGCUUGGCGCGCGGAAUGCGGUCGAGAACUUCGCGCCACAAUGCGAGGCAGCGCUCCGACAAUUUCAGCGCGCUGAUAAAGGCGCCGAUGACGAUCGCCGUGGAUGGUAUUUCCAGCCGUGCGCGACUAAAUGGAUGGUUGCGUGCGGGCGCGACAUGCCGGAAAGGAUAGACGCACCCGUCCAUCGGCAGCAUCGUUUCGAGCUGAAAGGCUUGACUCGCGGCAACAUCCGCAUAGCGGUCGGUAAGCUUGAAAUCAACCGCUGGACAGCCCGACGCCACCGGCACAUGCCACGUGCGUGAUCUGCACGCGCGCGGGCUUGAACGCGAGAAUGCCGGGUCUCGCGCCCUUGGUGUGCGUCGAAAGAUCGACGAGGAUAUCAAGAUCGUCAUUUGCGAUGCGCAGCGCUGCGACGCGUUCGGAGAGGUCGGCAAUCACUUCGAAACGAUCGCCUGCGCUUCGAAAACGUUCUGUCCAUUCAUCGGCGUCAUGGACCAGAGAAUAGAAAUUGAUCUCGAAUCGGGAACGAUCGUGAUGCUGCACAGCCUGCCACAUCAUCUUUCCCAUGACGUGAUUACGCAAAUCUCCCGAGAGGUAACCGACGCGCAGCCUCCCUGGCUUUCGCCUCGCCCUGCGCGGCAGCGGCUCGCCAUACACGUGCUUCGCGGCGGCGUCGUACAUGUGCGCGAAACCCAAUACCGUUUUGGGCUCGACGUCGAAGAAAAGCAGCAGGUAGUUCAGUUUGCUCGAGGCAGUCGACCAGCUCGAUUUCGUCACUCGCCACGAAUUCGUUGCGCGCCAAUCCCGUCAGAUAUCGG